UGUAAAUUGCCCAAGACAUCUUUCUCCAGGCUCCCGUUAUGUGGCUUGGCUGCCGGCUGCCUCAUUCCCAUCAGUGCACAAAGCCUGGGAGAGAAAGAAACCUCCGUGACUAGUCUGGGACCUGGGGAUUUGGAUAUGAGUGAAACAAUGGGUUCCAGCAAUCAGCCAGAAUCCAAGGAGGAAAGGGAGAGAAAGGACUCACUGUGAAACAGAAUCACUGAAGGGGACCAUGAUAUCCAAGAACUUUCUGUUGUCCUUUGUGCUUCAUAAUUCACUUUGCUAUCUUCAUCUUUCGGAAACUGAUUGACCACCACAAAGGAGGAACCGAAUACUUGGAGUAAAGCCAGGAGAGAGAAGCAGAAGCCUUCAGAAGCUGUUACUAGGUAGUAAGAAAUCACUCUCUGGAGUCCCAGAGAGCAGAUAUUCUGGAAAAGAAUGGAUUUCCUGCUAUUGUGCAGGAUGAAGACUUGAGUAAUUUUGUCUGGUUAUUAAAGGAAGCCUGGAAGAUGGGGGGGUCAGAUUAUCGUAUGUCCGGGAAAAUUCUCAUGGCACUGUGUGUCUAAGGCAGGAAAUUAGAUACAAGAUGAAAUCCAAGAAGGUACUGUGGUUGGGUUUCUCCCACAGAAAGAGGAGAAAAAUCCCUGUAUCCCUACUUAUGCAAACAAUAUGCAAAUUGGGGUGAUUACAUAUUUGCUUAGAAAAUUUCCGUUACCUCAUUUUGGCUUUAAGGGGAGUGGGGACACCAAAAGGGAAUGUUUGUCAACAGUCCAGAGUUGUUAGAUUUCUUGCAGGGGAAACAAAGGGUAAAUUUCAUAUCAAACAAAUGUCAGGGUUUUAAGCAAGUUUUCCAAAUGCCUCAAUGUCUCCCCAAAACAUACCAAAGAAUAAUUAUGAAAUAUGAUCCAUUGACAAAAUGAGGCACAAGUGGAAAAUUCUUUUCUCCCCUAUUCAUUUUACUGUAAGGGACUUUUUCUCCUUUUUCUUGGCUCAACAAUGUGAAGGAAGGGCUUG